rnacentral:tRNA from 1 species
UCCCUGGCAGUCCAGUAGUUAAGACUCUGCAUUUCCACUGCUGGAAGCUUGGGUUCAAUCCCUGACUAAGGAA